UCAGCGAAUGGAUGGAUUAUCCAGUCAAGGUACAGAAUGAAAGACUUGACUGAGUUAGAAGAAGCUGGGCGACUCUUCAGAGUGAAGAUGUUAUGUGCCUGCUUUCGAACCACACCCGUGGAGAUAUCUGCCAACAAAUGGACAAUCAUUCAUGGGGCUACAGAUGGGGCUGCAUUCAAGAAUUUUCAAUGUAUGUGUUCAAAUUCACAUUCUGCGUAAAAAAAAAGUUUCGAUGAGAGGUGAUGGAGGGUGGUGUUUGGCACUAUG